UGAAAGUAUAAAACAUGUCCAAUGAUCAUACGAUAUUCAUUACAGAUCCAGUUAGGCUCUGCUUACUAAACAUUAUACAUAAAACUUCAAAUACAAAAAUUUUGGCAUUGCCAAAAGUUGUGGACUUUCAAGAGUGCAUGUAUGUAUGUACAUAUGUAUAUUUCUUUAUACAUAUUUUGAUAUCCACAAAAAAGUGCUCGCUCAAGAAAAACAAAUCUGAUUUGAUUACGAAAAUUUAAAUAGGUUUUUCUAAGGAAGUUGAAGUUAGGAAAGUUAAAAAGCUAAGUACUUCUGAAAGCAUACAUUUGCUACCAGUUCUAAAUUUCCUUUCUAAAUUUCGCGUAUAGUAACAACAAAUCAUCAUAUGACGGAUAUCGCAGCGUCAUGGAAAGCAUUGACGGUAGUGAAAGACACCGUCCGUUUUAGCGAUCAUUAUUAAAACGUUAUUAUAAUGUACAUAUGUAUAUACAUUACAUAAAAAUAUUAAAAUACAUUUUUCAGCCUCUUAGCUAAGUGUUUAUUUUUUUUUUUGCUGUUCUCGAUUUUUUUUUUACAUACAAGGAUUUAGUUCUGAAUAAAUAAUAUUGAUUUAUACCAGCUGAAUUCAUGGUUGGAUGUUGGCUUUAACCUUCUUAAAUUAUGUAUAUGUUAAAUCGUUAACGUAAUUACAAAACA